rnacentral:rRNA from 1 species
ACUGCGAAUGGCUCAUUAAAUCAGUUAUCGUUUAUUUGAUAGYACCNUUACUACAUGGAUACCUGUGGUAAUUCUAGAGCUAAUACAUGCUUAAAACCCCGACUUCGGNAAGGGGUGUAUUUAUUAGAUAAAAAACCAACGCCCUUCGGGGCUUCUUGGUGAAUCAUAAUAACUUAACGAAUCGCAUGGCCUUGCGCCGGCGAUGGUUCAUUCAAAUUUCUGCCCUAUCAACUUUCGAUGGUAGGAUAGUGGCCUACCAUGGUGGCAACGGGUAACGGGGAAUUAGGGUUCGAUUCCGGAGAGGGAGCCUGAGAAACGGCUACCACAUCCAAGGAAGGCAGCAGGCGCGCAAAUUACCCAAUCCCGAUACGGGGAGGUAGUGACAAUAAAUACUGAUACGGGGCUCUUUUGGGUCUCGUAAUUGGAAUGAGAACAAUUUAAAUCCCUUAACGAGGAACAAUUGGAGGGCAAGUCUGGUGCCAGCAGCCGCGGUAAUUCCAGCUCCAAUAGCGUAUAUUAAAGUUGUUGCAGUUAAAAAGCUCGUAGUUGAACCUUGGGUUCGGCUGGCCGGUCCGCCUCACCGCGAGUACUGGUCCGGCCGGACCUUUCCUUCUGGGGAACCUCAUGGCCUUCACUGGCUGUGGGGGGAACCAGGACUUUUACUGUGAAAAAAUUAGAGUGUUCAAAGCAGGCCUUUGCUCGAAUACAUUAGCAUGGAAUAAUAGAAUAGGACGUGUGGUUCUAUUUUGUUGGUUUCUAGGACCGCCGUAAUGAUUAAUAGGGAUAGUCGGGGGCGUCAGUAUUCAGCUGUCAGAGGUGAAAUUCUUGGAUUUGCUGAAGACUAACUACUGCGAAAGCAUUCGCCAAGGAUGUUUUCAUUAAUCAGGGAACGAAAGUUAGGGGAUCGAAGACGAUCAGAUACCGUCGUAGUCUUAACCAUAAACUAUGCCGACUAGGGAUCGGACGGGAUUCUAUGAUGACCCGUUCGGCACCUUACGAGAAAUCAAA